GACGAACGCUGGCGGCGUGCUUAACACAUGCAAGUCGUACGGUAAGGCCCUUUCGGGGGUACACGAUUGGCGAACGGGUGAGUAACACGUGCGUAACCUGCCCACCACUUUGGGAUAACGCUCUGAAACUGGUGCUAAUACUGGAUAUGUGCUCCUGCCGCAUGGUGGGGGUUGGAAAGCUCCGGCGGUUGUGGAUGGACUCGCGGCCUAUCAGCUUGUUGGUGGGGUAGUGGCCUACCAAGGCGGCGACGGGUAGCCGGCCUGAGAGGGUGACCGGCCACAAUGGGACUGAGAUACGGCCCAGACUCCUACGGGAGGCAGCGGUGGGGAAUAUUGCACAAUGGGGGCAAGCCUGAUGCAGCAACGCCGCGUGCGGGAUGACGGGCUUCGGGUUGUAAACCGCUUUCAGCAGGGACGAAGCUUUGUGUGACGGUACCUGCAGAAGAAGCACCGGCUAACUACGUG
rnacentral:rRNA from 1 species